ensembl:processed_transcript 1810059H22Rik RIKEN cDNA 1810059H22 gene
UUCGAGCCCUUCUUCCUGCUCUCUUGGCGCUGCAGCUGAGGGUCACGUGGCAGCUGCUCCACCAGGGCUCUAUGAAUGACCGCUUGCUCCCAGCUCCCAAGAUGCUUCCAGGCUCUUCCUUCCUGGUUGUGGAUGCAGAGCUGGAAACCGGAAAUUCCCUCUGUUGUAAGUCCCCUUCCCUAGGAGCUGUCCUCACCGGAGCUUGACAGAGCCGAGCUUGAGUUCUGAGAGCAAGCCUUCAGAUGAAGAUGUUGAACUCUCAGCUCCUCCUUCACCAUGCCUGCCUGGA